UGCAGUCGAGCGGAGAGAAGAGGCUUGCUUCUUCUUUUAGCGGCGGACGGGUGAGUAACACGUGGGCAACCUACCUUGUAGAUUGGGAUAACUCCGGGAAACCGGGGCUAAUACCAAAUAAUCCAUUUUGCUUCAUGGCGAAAUGUUGAAAGGCGGCUUCGGCUGUCACUACGAGAUGGGCCCGCGGCGUAUUAGCUAGUUGGUAGGGUAAUGGCCUACCAAGGCGACGAUACGUAGCCGACCUGAGAGGGGGAUCGGCCACACUGGGACUGAGACACGGCCCAGACUCCUACGGGAGGCAGCAGUAGGGAAUCUUCCACAAUGGACGAAAGUCUGAUGGAGCAACGCCGCGUGAGUGAAGAAGGUUUUCGGAUCGUAAAACUCUGUUGUAAGGGAAGAACACGUACGAGAGUAACUGCUCGUACCUUGACGGUACCUUAUUAGAAAGCCACGGCUAACUACGUGCCAGCAGCCGCGGUAAUACGUAGGUGGCAAGCGUUGUCCGGAAUUAUUGGGCGUAAAGCGCGCGCAGGCGGUCCUUUAAGUCCGAUGUGAAAGCCCACGGCUCACCCGUGGAGGGUCAUUGGAAACUGGGGGACUUGAGUACAGAAGAGGAAAGCGGAAUUCCAUGUGUAGCGCUGAAAUGCGUA
rnacentral:rRNA from 1 species